CUACUUACCUGGCAGGGGAGACACCAUGAUCACGUAGGUGGUUUUCCCAGGGUGAGGCUCCGCCAUUGCACUUUGGGCUGUGCUGACCCCUGCGAUUUCCCCAAGUGCGGGAAACUCGACUGCAUAAUUGGUGGUAGUGGGGGACUGCGUUCGCGCCCUCCCCUG
rnacentral:snRNA from 1 species